GGGCCUGUAGCUCAGUUGGCAGAGCAGCGGACUUUUAAUCCGCGUGUCGAGAGUUCGAUCCUCUCCGGGCCCA
rnacentral:tRNA from 1 species